CCCCACAAGGGUAUGAUGGGAAGCCCAUUUCUGGUGUCCCCCGCCGCGAUGUUGCUGGAAUAUUGCUAAAAGCGGCGUAAAACUCAACUCACUCACUAGUAUGCUGGUUGUACCACGAAAAUCUCUGGAACUGGUACUGAGGAACGCCAACAUGAUACACACAGAACUUACAAGUGGAUACCAAGAAUGCUGUUGCGCUGUGG